GACAGAGGGUGCAAGCGUUGUUCGGAAUCAUUGGGCGUAAAGGGCGCGUAGGCGGUCAAGUAAGUCGAACGUGAAAUCCCCGGGCUCAACCCGGGAACUGCGUCCGAUACUGGAAGGCUUGAAUCCGGGAGAGGGAUGUGGAAUUCCAGGUGUAGCGGUGAAAUGCGUAGAUAUCUGGAGGAACACCGGUGGCGAAGGCGACAUCCUGGACCGGUAUUGACGCUGAGGCGCGAAAGCCAGGGGAGCAAACGGG
rnacentral:rRNA from 1 species